CCUACGGGAUGCAGCAGUAGGGAAUCUUCCACAAUGGGCGAAAGCCUGAUGGAGCAACGCCGCGUGGGUGAAGAAGGUCUUCGGAUCGUAAAACCCUGUUGUUAGAGAAGAAAGUGCGUGAGAGUAACUGUUCACGUUUCGACGGUAUCUAACCAGAACGCCACGGCUAACUACGUUCCAGCAGCCGCGGUAAUCCGUAGGUGGCAAGCUUUAUCCGGAUUUAUUUGGCGUAAAGGGAACGCAGGCGGUCUUUUAAGUCUGAUGUGAAAGCCUUCGGCUUAACCGGAGUAGUGCAUUGGAAACUGGGAGACUUGAGUGCAGAAGAGGAGAGUGGAACGCCAUGUGUAGCGGUGAAAUGCGUAGAUAUAUGGAAGAACACCAGUGGCGAAAGCGGCUCUCUGGUCUGUAACUGACGCUGAGGUUCGAAAGCGUGGGUAGCAAACAGGAUUAGAUACCCUAGUAGUC
rnacentral:rRNA from 1 species